GGACCUUUCUUGCUCCUGGCAGCACUGAUCUCAUUUGGUAGUGUUUGGUUUAAGAGAAGUCAGGUAGCUCAGUCAAGCGGGCUUGAUCAUUCAAGCCAGAAAUCCAAUGAGCCAGAACGUUCAAACCAGCAGACCAGAGAGCCUGAUCAAUCAAAUCAGCCAAAGGCAAAGGAUGCAACCAUGCGAAAGCGAAGAACUCGCCCAAGAAACGAUCUUGUUCCACCUUCUAUGACCGACGUGGACCCUAAAAAUGCUUACCAAGUGGAGUUUUCAGAUUCUGAUACCGGCUAAAUGGAUUCAAAAGAUUUGCAGGCUUUUUUAAAUUAACACAGGGUAAAAGCUGGAAUUGGUGGUGAGCGGGUGGAUAACUAGCAACCACCUCCUUUACCCAACUGUUUGCAUUUUAGGCUUCUUUACCAUUUAGUCAUGUACAUUGAGCUCGAUACAGUUUCUCGACGUGUAAACACGUUUCGUCAGUAGUUUAGUUUUAAUUUACGAAGGAAGGAGAAAAUAGAGGCCAAGACAAUAUGUCAUGAUACUGAUUUUAAAAACUACCAUAGUCUUAUAUAUAUAGAUAUAUUUGCUUCCAUUUUCUUUUCUUACAAAUUAUUUAGUUACG
rnacentral:misc_RNA from 1 species